AAAUAAGAAGCGAAAUAUUGCAAUCAGUUUCGACCUGAUAUAUUGGCAAAUAAAUGCCCUUAUUUA
rnacentral:tRNA from 1 species